GAUGAACGCUGGCGGCGUGCCUAAUACAUGCAAGUCGAGCGAACGGACGAGAAGCUUGCUUCUCUGAUGUUAGCGGCGGACGGGUGAGUAACACGUGGAUAACCUACCUAUAAGACUGGGAUAACUUCGGGAAACCGGAGCUAAUACCGGAUAAUAUUUUGAACCGCAUGGUUCAAAAGUGAAAGACGGUCUUGCUGUCACUUAUAGAUGGAUCCGCGCUGCAUUAGCUAGUUGGUAAGGUAACGGCUUACCAAGGCAACGAUGCAUAGCCGACCUGAGAGGGUGAUCGGCCACACUGGAACUGAGACACGGUCCAGACUCCUACGGGAGGCAGCAGUAGGGAAUCUUCCGCAAUGGGCGAAAGCCUGACGGAGCAAAGCCGCGUGAGUGAUGAAGGUCUUCGGAUCGUAAAACUCUGUUAUUAGGGAAGAACAUAUGUGUAAGUAACUGUGCACAUCUUGACGGUACCUAAUCAGAAAGCCACGGCUAACUACGUG
rnacentral:rRNA from 1 species